rnacentral:rRNA from 1 species
CCUACGGGAGGCAGCAGUGGGGAAUAUUGCACAAUGGGGGAAACCCUGAUGCAGCGACGCCGCGUGAGUGAAGAAGUAAUUCGUUAUGUAAAGCUCUAUCAGCAGGGAAGAAAAUGACGGUACCUGAGUAAGAAGCCCCGGCCAACUACGUGCCAGCAGCCGGGGUAAUAAGUGGGGGGCAAGCGUUAUCCGGAUUUACUGGGUGUAAAGGGAGUGUAGACGGCAGUGCAAGUCUGGAGUGAAAGGCGGGGGCUCAACCCCCGGACUGCGCUGGAAACUGGACGGCUGGAGUGCAGGAGAGGUAAGUGGAAUUCCUAGUGUAGCGGUGAAAUGCGUAGAUAUUAGGAGGAACUCCGGUGGCGAAGGCGGCUUACUGGAGUGUAACUGACGUUGAGGCUCGAAAGCGUGGGGAGCGAACAGGAUUAGAUACCCCAGUAGUC